rnacentral:tRNA from 1 species
UGGCUCAGUUGGUAGAGCAAUGGUGUUUGCAACGCCAGGGUUGUGGGUUCGAUUCCCAC